AUUGAACGCUGGCGGCAGGCUUAACACAUGCAAGUCGAGCGGGGUGAUGGUGCUUGCACUAUCACUUAGCGGCGGACGGGUGAGUAAUGCUUAGGAAUCUGCCUAUUAGUGGGGGACAACAUCUCGAAAGGGAUGCUAAUACCGCAUACGUCCUACGGGAGAAAGCAGGGGAUCACUUGUGACCUUGUGCUAAUAGAUGAGCCUAAGUCGGAUUAGCUAGUUGGUGGGGUAAAGGCUUACCAAGGCGACGAUCUGUAGCGGGUCUGAGAGGAUGAUGCCGCACACUGGGACUGAGACACGGCCCAGACUGCUACGGGAGGCAGCAGUGGGGAAUAUUGGACAAUGGGGGGAACCCUGAUCCAGCCAUGCCGCGUGUGUGAAGAAGGCCUUAUGGUUGUAAGGCACUUUAAGCGAGGAGGAGGCUUACCUAGUUAAUAACUGGGAUAAGUGGACGUUACUCGCAGAAUAAGCACCGGCUAACUCUGUGCCAGCCGCCGCCGUAA
rnacentral:rRNA from 1 species